GUCAUCUCGUGGUGCCUGACACCCACAGGAGCUUCCGAUGGUCAGUGUCUAGGCCUUCAGAGUCGUCUUGUGGCUUCCUCUCGUAGUGGCUGGGGGGCCGUUGGUGGGGUGGCAGGUUGGCGGUCGGGGUAGCCGAAUGGGAGGUAGGGGGCCUGGUUCAUAGGAGACCGUUAUUCUUCAUGGCUGUCCGGGCCACCCCGCCGGAACCCG